GCAGUGGUGGUUCAGUGGUAGAAUUCUUACCUUCCAUGUAGGAGACCCGGGUUGAAUUCUCAGCCAAGACG
rnacentral:tRNA from 1 species